GGGAUCUUAGCUCAGCUGGGAGAGCAUCUGUGCCUUACAAGCAGAGGGUCACAGGUUCGAGCCCUGUAGGUCCCA
rnacentral:tRNA from 1 species